rfam:Pseudomonas fluorescens F113, complete genome.
CUAUUGUCUUCCUGCCACUGCCCAUCAGUGGUCGGGUUUAGUAGCCCGAGGU